GGCAUGAGAGAGAUUUCUUGCAUGAGAAAAGAAAAGAAAAGGAGAGAAAAGAAAGAAACUAGUGGGCGCAAGUUUCUUCAGAGUGUACCCUAUGGUUUUGGCUUAGGGUUCGGGAAGUGAGAACGUGAGCUACGAGUGUCGUGAGCCCACCAAACUUUAGAGAGAGCAUCAUCAACCUCUCUACCAUCUUUGCUGAUGAUCCAGAGUGUUCAAAGAGUCGGUAAACAUCGAUCGAAGGAGUUCGAUCAACAUCAGCCAUCAAAAGGGUUCAGUCACGAACUAGCAUUCGUGAGGAGCCGAUCA
rnacentral:lncRNA from 1 species